rnacentral:tRNA from 1 species
GCAGUGGCGGAAUUGCACGAAAUCUUCGAUUUCGUGGAAGCGGAAAUGCUUGGCGUUUCCGCAGACAGACACGCGCUAGCUUCAGGUGCUAGUGAUCGCAUGAGUCGUGUGGGUUCAAGUCCCGUCACCUGCACCA